rnacentral:rRNA from 1 species
UAGGGAAUCUUCGGCAAUGGACGAAAGUCUGACCGAGCAACGCCGCGUGAGUGAAGAAGGUUUUCGGAUCGUAAAACUCUGUUGUUAGAGAAGAACAAGGACGUUAGUAACUGAACGUCCCCUGACGGUAUCUAACCAGAAAGCCACGGCUAACUACGUGCCAGCAGCCGCGGUAAUACGUAGGUGGCAAGCGUUGUCCGGAUUUAUGGGGCGUAAAGCGAGCGCAGGCGGUUUCUUAAGUCUGAUGUGAAAGCCCCCGGCUCAACCGGGGAGGGUCAUUGGAAACUGGGAGACUUGAGUGCAGAAGAGGAGAGUGGAAUUCCAUGUGUAGCGGUGAAAUGCGUAGAUAUAUGGAGGAACACCAGUGGCGAAGGCGGCUCUCUGGUCUGUAACUGACGCUGAGGCUCGAAAGCGUGGGGAGCAAACAGG